GAUGAACGCUGGCUACAGGCUUAACACAUGCAAGUCGAGGGGAAACGACGGGGAAGCUUGCUUCCCCGGGCGUCGACCGGCGCACGGGUGAGUAACGCGUAUCCAACCUGCCUCUGACUGAGGGAUAACCCGUCGAAAGUCGGCCUAAUACCUCAUGGUAUCGUCUGCGGGCAUCCAACGACGAUUAAAGAUUUCAUCGGUCAGGGAUGGGGAUGCGUCUGAUUAGCUUGUUGGCGGGGUAACGGCCCACCAAGGCUACGAUCAGUAGGGGUUCUGAGCGGAAGGGCCCCCACAUUGGAACUGAGACACGGUCCAAACUCCUACGGGAGGCAGAAGUGAGGAAUAUUGGUCAAUGGGCGAGAGCCUGAACCAGCCAAGUAGCGUGCAGGAAGACGGCCCUAUGGGUUGUAAACUGCUUUUAUGCGGGGAUAAAGUGAGGGACGUGUCCCUCAUUGCAGGUACCGUAUGAAUAAGGACCGGCUAAUUCCGUG
rnacentral:rRNA from 1 species